rnacentral:rRNA from 1 species
CCUACGGGUGGCAGCAGUGAGGAAUAUUGGUCAAUGGGCGGAAGCCUGAACCAGCCAAGUAGCGUGCAGGAUGACGGCCCUACGGGUUGUAAACUGCUUUUAUACGGGAAUAACGCGCCUUACGUGUAGGGCUUUGCAUGUACCGUAUGAAUAAGGACCGGCCAAUUCCGUGCCAGCAGCCGCGGUAAUACGGAAGGUCCGGGCGGUAUCCGGAUUUUUUGGGUUUAAAGGGAGCGUAGGCCGCAUGUCAAGCGUGCUGUGAAAUGUCCGGGGUCAACCCGGGCCUUGCAGCGCAAACUGGCGUGCUUGAGUCCGCGAGAAGCAGGCGGAAUUCGUGGUGUAGCGGUGAAAUGCUUAGAUAUGACGAAGAACCCCGAUUGCGAAGGCAGCUUGCUGCAGCGGAACUGACGCUGAGGCUCGAAAGCGCGGGUAUCGAACAGGAUUAGAUACCCGAGUAGUC